CGGGAAGAGCUCAAAUUUAAAAUCUGGUAGUCUUCGACUAUCCGAGUUGUAAUCUAGAGAAGCGUUAUCCGCGCUGGACCGUGUACAAGUCUCCUGGAACGGAGCGUCAUAGAGGGUGAGAAUCCCGUCUCUGACACGGACUACCAGGGCUCUGUGAUGCGCUCUCAAA
rnacentral:rRNA from 1 species